GGAGGGAUUUUCUGAGAUGUGAAUACCUGAGCAUGUUUGAGGGCGGAGAGGAAGGAGCAGUGGAGAGGCACACGAGAAGGCAAAAGAAAAAAAAGAAGAGAUGAAGCAAAGUUCUAAGUAGAUAGGUGGAUAUGGAUCUAAGAGUAAAAGUGGAUCAGGACACCACAGAAAAGAGGAAACACUUGCCUUCCAUUAUGUUUGGUUCCACCAGGAGUUGGAAGUUAGCCAAGUGGGUUCAGCCAAAGGUCAAGAAGGAGACAGAAUUGCAGCUGCUUCUUAAAGUGUAUUUGAAAUGGUGCCUCAGUACUGACACAUCCAUCCACUCACU
rnacentral:lncRNA from 1 species